rnacentral:rRNA from 1 species
UACAGAGGUCUCAAGCGUUGUUCGGAUUCAUUGGGCGUAAAGGGUGCGUAGGUGGCGAGGUUAGUCAGGUGUGAAAUCUCGGGGCUCAACCCCGAAACUGCACUUGAUACUGCCUUGCUAGAGUACUGGAGAGGAGAUUGGAAUUUACGGUGUAGCAGUGAAAUGCGUAGAUAUCGUAAGGAAGACCAGUGGCGAAGGCGAAUCUCUGGACAGUUACUGACACUGAGGCACGAAGGCCAGGGGAGCAAGCGGG